rnacentral:rRNA from 1 species
UACGUAGGCGGAAAAUUAAGUCAGUAGUGAAAUCCUGCAGCUUAACUGUAGAACUGUUAUUGAUACUGGUUUUCUUGAAUAUAGUUGAGGUAGGCGGAAUGUGUAAUGUAGCGGUGAAAUGCUUAGAUAUUACACAGAACACCGAUUGCGAAGGCAGCUUACUAAGCUAUGAUAGACGCUGAGGUACGAAAGCGUGGGGAGCGAACAGGAUUAGAUACCCUGGUAGUCC